rnacentral:rRNA from 1 species
GACGAACGCUGGCGGCGUGCCUAAUACAUGCAAGUUGAGCGCUGAAGGUUGGUACUUGUACCAACUGGAUGAGCAGCGAACGGGUGAGUAACGCGUGGGGAAUCUGCCUUUGAGCGGGGGACAACAUUUGGAAACGAAUGCUAAUACCGCAUAAAAACUUUAAACACAAGUUUUAAGUUUGAAAGAUGCAAUUGCAUCACUCAAAGAUGAUCCCGCGUUGUAUUAGCUAGUUGGUGAGGUAAAGGCUCAACAAGGCGAUGAUACAUAGCCGACCUGAGAGGGUGAUCGGCCACAUUGGGACUGAGACACGGCCCAAACUCCUACGGGAGGCAGCAGUAGGGAAUCUUCGGCAAUAGACGGAAGUCUGACCGAGCAACGCCGCGUGAGGGAAGAAGGGUUUCGGAUCGUAAAACUCUGUUGGUAGAGAAGAACGUUGGUGAGAGUGGAAAGCUCAUCAAGUGACGGUAACUACCCAGAAAGGGACGGCUAACUACGUG